AUUGAACGCUGGCGGCAGGCCUAACACAUGCAAGUCGAACGAGUGGCGGACGGGUGAGUAAUGUCUGGGAAACUGCCUGAUGGAGGGGGAUAACUACUGGAAACGGUAGCUAAUACCGCCUACCAUCAGAUGUGCCCAGAUGGGAUUAGCUGGUGGGUGGGGUAACGGCUCACCAAAGCGAGGAUCCCUAGCUGGUCUGAGAGGAUGACCAGACCCACUGGAACUGAGACACGGUCCAGACUCAGAGCAGAGUCACCGUGGAAUAAGAAGGCACAGUGGGCUCAAGACUGAUACAGCCAGGCCGCGUGUAUGAAGGAGUCCUUCGGGUUGUAAAGUACUUUCAGCGGGAAGGCGUUACCCGCAGAAUAAGCACCGGCUAACUCCGUGCCAGCAGCCGCGGUAAUUC
rnacentral:rRNA from 1 species